CCGCGUGGGUGAUGAAGGUCCUCGGAUUGUAAAGCCCUGUUUUCUGGGACGAUAAUGACGGUACCAGAGGAGGAAGCCACGGCUAACUACGUGCCAGCAGCCGCGGUAAUACGUAGGUGGCGAGCGUUGUCCGGAUUUACUGGGCGUAAAGGGUGCGUAGGCGGAUGUUUAAGUGGGAUGUGAAAUCCCCGGGCUUAACCUGGGGGCUGCAUUCCAAACUGGAUAUCUAGAGUGCAGGAGAGGAAAGCGGAAUUCCUAGUGUAGCGGUGAAAUGCGUAGAGAUUAGGAAGAACACCAGUGGCGAAGGCGGCUUUCUGGACUGUAACUGACGCUGAGGCACGAAAGCGUGGGUAGCAAACAGGAUUAGAUACCCUGGUAGUC
rnacentral:rRNA from 1 species